CUGACGCAGGUAACAGGAACUACAACUGACGCAGGUACCAUCUGACGUGUCUGUCCAGAGGAGUACCACCAUUGGAACAUGUCCUAUGUCCCACUCUCCCUUGUGGCCAUGUACUGCUUGCCUGUGUAUCUGCUGGGGACAUCUCUGCGCUGCUGAUCCGCCUCCGCUUGGGAUGGUUUCCUGCUGACCCUGCUGUGAACUGGACUCUCGCUGCUGUGUUGGAUCCGCUUUGGACUGGACUCUCGCGGCUGUGUUGGAUCCAUUAUGGAUUGAACUUUCACAGUAUCAUGUUGGACCCGCUCGACAUCCAUUGCUUUCCUCCUCUCCAAGGUUCUUAUAGUCAUCAUUGUCACCGACGUCCCACUGGGUGUGAGUUUUUCCUUGCCCUUAUGUGGGCCUACCAAGGAUGUCGUUGUGGUUUGUGCAGCCCUUUGAGACACUGGUGAUUUAGGGCUAUAUAAGUAAACAUUGAUUGAUUGAUUGAUUGAACUGUUGUGGUCCUCAGCUUGAAGACCCAACCCACUUAACCAUUGAGGUGUUUCAUGGUUCCAUAUUUCCUAGCUGAUCUUUAUGUUCAUCGCUUGACUGUUGGAGGUGGAGGACGCUGGAGGUCAGCUGUGGAGAAAACACCAUCAGGUCCAUGAUGAGGUCAGCUGUGGAGAAAACACCAUCAGGUCCAUGAUGAGGUCCACUGGAGCAAAGUGUCAAAGAUGGUGUUCACUGCCCGAGUCCUCUUCUUACUCCGCAGUCCUCCAGGCCAAUUUGGAGGCGAGUGACAUCUGCCACCAGCAGAUAAUUUCCCUGGAGCAACACAGGAUGUCUUCUUUAAUAUCUCCAAUCUCCUGAGGGCUGCCAUGGAAGAAGAAGUUGCAACUGACAAAGAGGCAACUGCGACUCUCUUGGCUCCUCUGUGGCUUCCCUCAGAGACACUGGCGGUCACCACACCUGUUGGCCACACCCCUCAGACUUUCAGGAAUCGCUCUCGCUGCUGGUGGCCAUGAUUGUAAACGUGUGGAUGUGAGGAGCUCCACAACCCGUGACAUCACGCGCACAUCGUCUGCUACUUCCGCUACAGGCAAGGCUUUUUUAUUAGCGACCAAAAGUUGCGAACUUUACGGUGGAUGUUCUCUACUAAAUCCUUUCAGCAAAAAUAUGGCAAUAUGGCCAAAUGAUGAAGUAUGACACAUAGAAUGGAGCUGCUAUCCCCGUUUAAAGAAGAACAUCUCAUUUCAGGAGGCCUUUAAAUCUUCCUGCAAAAAGCAGAUUCCUGCAAAAAGUCAAACUCUACAAUAAAAUACAUCUUUAUACUUUAUCACAAACAGAUUUGUGAAGUGACAUCAAGAAUGAUGUUAGUUGUCUUCCUAGACUUGUGCAACUGUUGUGAUGAUUGUUGAUGAAAAUAUGACAACAGAUGUCAACAUUGUGGACGUGCUG